GUCAAUGUGGUACCAGAAAUUUCGGCAAAGAAAGGACAAGACAAAGUCAACGGGAGUUAGCUCGAAAAUUACGGUUUAGUAAAGAUAGAACGUUGAAUCAGCAUCCUAGUUCGAUCCCGAAUUCAUUAAGGUAAAGUGUGUUAAUUAUUGGUAAUGGCAUGUACCUAGGAUGUUUUAUGAGAGUCAUUUAGGUUGUAGAUGUACUCAUGAAAUGAGUAAAUUAUGGUUGGCAAUGGUAUGUAGUAUGAAUUUUGAAAUUUACUAAAAAUUCGUAGUGAUUCUAAA